UACGGGGGGGGCAAGCGUUGUUCGGAAUUACUGGGCGUAAAGGGCUCGUAGGUGGCCAACUAAGUCAGACGUGAAAUCCCUCGGCUUAACCGGGGAACUGCGUCUGAUACUGGAUGGCUUGAGUUUGGGAGAGGGACGCGGAAUUCCAGGUGUAGCGGUGAAAUGCGUAGAUAUCUGGAGGAACACCGGUGGCGAAGGCGGCGUCCUGGACCAACACUGACACUGAUGAGCGAAAGCCAGGGAGCAAACGGGAGUUA
rnacentral:rRNA from 1 species